rnacentral:rRNA from 1 species
AAUGAACGCUGGCGGCGUGCUUAACACAUGCAAGUCGCACGAGAACGCUUCAGCUUGCUGAAGUUAGUAAAGUGGCGCACGGGUGAGUAUCGCGUGGGUAAUCUACCUCUGAAUUGGGGAUAACAUUGCGAAAGCGAUGCUAAUACCGAAUAACAUCUUAAAUACUUCGGUAUUUAAGAUCAAAGGUGGCCUCUACGUGUAAGCUACUGUUUGGAGAUGAGCCCGCGUACCAUUAGCUUGUUGGUAGGGUAACGGCCUACCAAAGCGACGAUGGUUAGCUGGUCUGAGAGGAUGAUCAGCCACACUGGAACUGACACACGGUCCAGACUCCUACGGGAGGCAGCAGUGAGGAAUUUUGCGCAAUGGGGGAAACCCUGACGCAGCAACGCCGCGUGAGUGAUGAAGGCUUUCGGGUCGUAAAGCUCUGUCAGGUGGGAAGAAGCUGCCCCGUGCUAAUAUCACGGGAUACUGACGGUACCACUGAAGGAAGCACCGGCUAACUCCGUGCCAGCAGCCGCGGUAAUACGGGGGGUGCGAGCGUUAUUCGGAAUCAUUGGGCGUAAGGGGCGCGUAGGCGGUCUCUUAAGUCAGGUGUGAAAGCCUUCCGCUUAACGGAAGAAGUGCACUUGAAACUAAGGGACUUGAGUAUGGGAGAGGGAAGUGGAAUUCCUGGUGUAGCGGUGAAAUGCGUAGAUAUCAGGAGGAACACCGGUGGCGAAGGCGACUUCCUGGACCAAUACUGACGCUGAGGCGCGAAGGCGUGGGGAGCAAACAGGAUUAGAUACCCUGGUAGUCCACGCAGUAAACGGUGAACACUAGGUGUAGUGGGUAUUGACCCCUGCUGUGCCGCAGUUAACGCAUUAAGUGUUCCGCCUGGGGAGUACGGCCGCAAGGUUA